rnacentral:rRNA from 1 species
UACGUAGGGUGCAAGCGUUAAUCGGAAUUACUGGGCGUAAAGCGUGCGCAGGCGGUUGUGCAAGACAGAUGUGAAAUCCCCGGGCUCAACCUGGGAACUGCAUUUGUGACUGCACGGCUGGAGUGCGGCAGAGGGGGAUGGAAUUCCGCGUGUAGCGGUGAAAUGCGUAGAGAUGUGGAGGAACACCAAUGGCGAAGGCAGCCUUCUGGGCCAACACUGACGCUCAUGCACGAAAGCGUGGGGAGCAAACAGG